rnacentral:rRNA from 1 species
UACGUAGGUGACAAGCGUUGUCCGGAUUUACUGGGCGUACAGAGCGCGCAGGCGGUCGAUCAAGUCGAGUGUGAAAGCCCCCGGCUCAACUGGGGAGGGUCAUUCGAUACUGAUCGACUCGAAGGCAGGAGAGGGUAGUGGAAUUCCCGGUGUAGUGGUGAAAUGCGUAGAUAUCGGGAGGAACACCAGUGGCGAAGGCGACUACCUGGCCUGUUCUUGACGCUGAGACGCGAAAGCGUGGGGAGCGAACAGG